GACGAACGCUGGCGGCGUGCUUAACACAUGCAAGUCGAACGGAAAGGCCCUGCUUUUGUGGGGUGCUCGAGUGGCGAACGGGUGAGUAACACGUGAGUAACCUGCCCUUGACUUUGGGAUAACUUCAGGAAACUGGGGCUAAUACCGGAUAGGAGCUCCUGCUGCAUGGUGGGGGUGGGAAAGUUUCGGCGGUUGGGGAUGGACUCGCGGCUUAUCAGCUUGUUGGUGGGGUAGUGGCUUACCAAGGCUUUGACGGGUAGCCGGUCUGAGAGGGUGACCGGCCACAUUGGGACUGAGAUACGGCCCAGACUCCUACGGGAGGCAGCAGUGGGGAAUAUUGCACAAUGGGCGGAAGCCUGAUGCAGCAACGCCGCGUGCGGGAUGACGGCCUUCGGGUUGUAAACCGCUUUCGCCUGUGACGAAGCGUGAGUGACGGUAAUGGGUAAAGAAGCACCGGCUAACUACGUG
rnacentral:rRNA from 1 species